GACGAACGCUGGCGGCGUGCUUAACACAUGCAAGUCGAACGGAAAGGCCCUGCUUGCAGGGUACUCGAGUGGCGAACGGGUGAGUAACACGUGGGUGAUCUGCCCUGCACUUCGGGAUAAGCCUGGGAAACUGGGUCUAAUACCGGAUAGGAGCCAUUUUUAGUGUGAUGGUUGGAAAGUUUUUUCGGUGUAGGAUGAGCUCGCGGCCUAUCAGCUUGUUGGUGGGGUAAUGGCCUACCAAGGCGGCGACGGGUAGCCGGCCUGAGAGGGUGGACGGCCACAUUGGGACUGAGAUACGGCCCAGACUCCUACGGGAGGCAGCAGUGGGGAAUAUUGCACAAUGGGCGCAAGCCUGAUGCAGCGACGCCGCGUGGGGGAUGACGUCCUUCGGGUUGUAAACUCCUUUCGCUAGGGACGAAGCUUUUUGUGACGGUACCUAGAUAAGAAGCACCGGCUAACUACGUG
rnacentral:rRNA from 1 species